rnacentral:rRNA from 1 species
GUGUCAGCAGCCGCGGUAAUACAGAGACUGCAAGCGUUAUUCGGAUUCACUGGGCGUAAAGGGUGCGCAGGCGGCAAUGUGUGUGAGGCGUGAAAGCCCGGGGCUUAACCUCGGAAUUGCGCCUCAAACUACAUUGCUAGAGCAUUGGAGAGGGUAGCAGAAUUCACGGUGUAGCAGUGAAAUGCGUAGAUAUCGUGAGGAAUACCAGAGGCGAAGGCGGCUACCUGGACAAUUGCUGACGCUCAGGCACGAAAGCGUGGGGAGCAAAAGGGAUUAGAUACCCGCGUAGUCC